GAUAAAAUAUCAACAACCCUAAUAUAUAGUGGAGAAAUAGUGAUUGAACGCUUCGGCAACUUCAUGAUUUGUUUCUUGUUGCCCUUUCUUGUCGUCCAGAGCAAGGGAAGAGACUAUAGGAAUGUGGUCACUAAUAUCGCCGAAGACAGUAUUAUUCUUAACCUUAGCAGCAAAAUCGAUCGGACAGAUGAAAUGGUCUAAUAUAUUUGAUGUUACUGGACGAGUUGGGAACGUAUUAGUACAUAUGUUCAUUGGAACAUUCACAUCAUCAACUAUGAAACAAGGUUUAGAAGGAGUAGCAGCAGAUAACCAUCCCUCUAAAAUCUCGACAAGAAAAGUAUGCGUGAUAACCUGGAAUACUGUAAAUGCAGCUAUUCUCCAAUUUAAACCAAGUUUCUCCAACAACUAUAACAUCUCUUCAUUGGUAAAAAAGUGAAAUAUUUACCGUUUUGAGGCACGCCUUUCCAAAGAUUGAGCAAAAACUUUGCACCCCGCUUUGCCGCGAAAAAUGUUCUCAUUUCUCGGUGAACCGCUGUCGUAGGUGUGAAAUGAGAUGCCAAAAAUUGACAUAGCUGCUCGUAGGUUUUCUCUGCGGGAACAAUGGGUGUACACAAAUCUCGCAACAGUUUGUACGUUCUCGCGCUGAGACAGUUGACUAAGAUCGACACUUUUUUAGUUGCCUCCACAUUAGCAGACUUGAACCAUUCUUCUAAUUGUUCCUUAAACAGUUGCCACUUGCCACAUUUCCGAAAAUUUAUCGCACUUGCCGCCAUUUUAAUUAAACAUCCUCGUAGCCAUUGUAAUAAACGUGUAUUCGGUAUGACUUUGGAAGCAAGAAUGAUUUAUUGUACUAAUAGGGUAUACAGAGUUUUUGACAGUUCUCUCCCAUUAUCCCAGGCCCCUGACAGGGUACUGAACACUUAUGGACGCUGGAAUAGUUAUGCUUGGAGCGGCAGUUAUUUUCUUUGAACUCUAUUACUAAACGGAAUUCGAAAAGUCGAUUUCCAUUAGGACCCUAGUAAAUAGCACUCAGAUGGAAUUAUGGCGUGCUGCUAUAAGCUAUGGCUUUUUAGCCGAGUUACCUGUACUGUAUCCUUUUUAUCUGUUCAAGCUUAUCACAACAAACACUAUACUUCUUACCUGUU